GAUGAACGCUGGCGGCGUGCCUAAUACAUGCAAGUCGAGCGAACGGACGAGAAGCUUGCUUCUCUGAUGUGAGCGGCGGACGGGUGAGUAACACGUGGAUAACCUACCUAUAAGACUGGGAUAACUUCGGGAAACCGGAGCUAAUACCGGAUAAUAUUUUGAACCGCAUGGUUCAAAAGUGAAAGACGGUCUUGCUGUCACUUAUAGAUGGAUCCGCGCUGCAUUAGCUAGUUGGUAAGGUAACGGCUUACCAAGGCAACGAUGCAUAGCCGACCUGAGAGGGUGAUCGGCCACACUGGAACUGAGACACGGUCCAGACUCCUACGGGAGGCAGCAGUAGGGAAUCUUCCGCAAUGGGCGAAAGCCUGACGGAGCAACGCCGCGUGAGUGAUGAAGGUCUUCGGAUCGUAAAACUCUGUUAUUAGGGAAGAACAUAUGUGUAAGUAACUGUGCACAUCUUGACGGUACCUAAUCAGAAAGCCACGGCUAACUACGUG
rnacentral:rRNA from 1 species